rnacentral:pre_miRNA from 1 species
CUUGUACUCCCUCCGUCCGAAAAUACUUAUCAUUGAAAUGGAUGUAUCUAGAUGUAUUUUAGUUCUAGACACAUCCAUUUUCAUGACAAGUAAUUCCAGACGGAGGGAGUACUUG